GUACGGGAGGCAGCAGUGGGGAAUAUUGGGCAAUGGGGGAAACCCUGACCCAGCAACGCCGCGUGAAGGACGAAGGCCUUCGGGUUGUAAACUUCUUUGAUCAGGGACGAAACGAAUGACGGUACCUGAAGAACAAGCCACGGCUAACUACGUGCCAGCAGCCGCGGUAAUACGUAGGUGGCGAGCGUUAUCCGGAUUUACUGGGUGUAAAGGGCGUGCAGGCGGGUCCGCCAGUCGGGUGUGAAAUUUCCGGGCUUAACCCGGGCAGGUCACCCGAAACUGCGGAUCUUGAGUACUGGAGAGGAUAGUGGAAUUCCCGGUGUAGCGGUAAAAUGCGUAGAUAUCGGGAGGAACACCAGUGGCGAAGGCGGCUAUCUGGACAGUAACUGACGCUGAGGCGCGAAAGCGUGGGGAGCAAACAGGAUUAGAUACCCGAGUAU
rnacentral:rRNA from 1 species